rnacentral:rRNA from 1 species
AAUGAAACAUCAAUUUAUAGUAAAAUUUAAUUUUUUGUUACGCUUCCUAGGAAAGCUCGUAGUAUUAUAAAUUAAAAAUUACCUGUACCUUAAACCGACACAGGUAGGUGGGUAGAGUAUACCUAGGGGCGCGAGAUAACUCUCUCUAAGGAACUCGGCAAAAUGGCCCCGUAACUUCGGGAGAAGGGGUGCCUCUCGUAAAAGAGGCCGCAGUGACCAGGCCCAAGCGACUGUUUACCAAAAACACAGGUCUCCGCUAAGUCGCAAGACGAUAUAUGGGGGCUGACGCCUGCCCAGUGCCGGAAGGUGAAGGAAGUUGGUUAUUCUAUCAUUGAAGAAGCUAACGACCGAAGCCCCGGUGAACGGCGGCCGUAACUAUGACGGUCCUAAGGUAGCGAAAUUCCUUGUCGGGUAAGUUCCGACCCGCACGAAAGGCGUAACGAUUUGGGCGCUGUCUCGGAGAGAGACUCGGUGAAAUAGACAUGUCCGUGAAGAUGCGGACUUCCUGCACCUGGACAGAAAGACCCUAUGAAGCUUGACUGUAGCUUGUAAUUGGGUUCGGGCUUUUUUUGCGCAGUCUAGGUGGGAGGCAGUGAUAGUUUUCUUCUGGGAAAAUUGGAGCCGUUCGUGAGAGACCACUCUGAAAGAGCUAGAAUCCUAAUAAUGAUCCUUGAAUCAGGACAUUUGACAGUUGCAGGUGGGCAGUUUGACUGGGGCGGUCGCCUCCUAAACAGUAACGGAGGCGUGCAAAGGUUCCCUCAGGCUGGACGGAAAUCAGCUUAAGAGUGUAAAGGCAAAAGGGAGCUUGACUGCAAGACCUACAAGUCGAGCAGGGGCGAAAGCCGGCCUUAGUGAUCCGACGGUGCCACGUGGAAGGGCCGUCGCUCAACGGAUAAAAGUUACUCUAGGAUAACAGGCUGAUCUUCCCCAAGAGUUCACAUCGACGGGAAGGUUUGGCACCUCGAUGUCGGCUCAUCGCAACCUGGGGCGGUAGUACGUCCCAAGGGUUGGGCUGUUCGCCCAUGAAAGCGGUACGUGAGCUGGGUUCAGAACGUCGUGAGACAGUUCGGUCCAUAUCCGGUGUAGGCGUUAGAAUAUUGAGAGGAUUCUUCCAUUGUACGAGAGGACCUGGAAGAACGCACCACUAGUAUACCAGUUCUCGUUCCAACGGGAUACGCUGGGUAGCCAAGUGCGGAGUGGAUAACUGCUGAAAGCAUCUAAGUAGGAAGCCCACCUCAAGAUGAGUAUUCUCAUUAAGAUCACGGCAAGACAAGCCGUUUGAUAGGUAUCAAGUGAAAGAUCAGUAAUGGUUGAGGCUGAGAUAUACUAAUAGAUCGUAUGAUUUUGAUC